UACGUAGGGGGCGAGCGUUGUCCGGAUUUAUUGGGCGUAAAGAGCGUGUAGGCGGCCAUGUAGGUCCGGUGUGAAAACUCGAGGCUUAACCUCGAGAUGUCAUCGGAAACCAUUUGGCUAGAGUCCGGAAGAGGAGACUGGAAUUCCUGGUGUAGCGGUGAAAUGCGUAGAUAUCAGGAGGAACACCGAUGGCGAAGGCAGGUCUCUGGGCUGACACUGACGCUCAUGCACGAAAGCGUGGGGAGCAAACAGG
rnacentral:rRNA from 1 species